rnacentral:rRNA from 1 species
GAUGAACGCUGGCGGCGUGCCUAAUACAUGCAAGUCGAGCGAACAGACGAGGAGCUUGCUCCUCUGACGUUAGCGGCGGACGGGUGAGUAACACGUGGAUAACCUACCUAUAAGACUGGGAUAACUUCGGGAAACCGGAGCUAAUACCGGAUAAUAUAUUGAACCGCAUGGUUCAAUAGUGAAAGACGGUUUUGCUGUCACUUAUAGAUGGAUCCGCGCCGCAUUAGCUAGUUGGUAAGGUAACGGCUUACCAAGGCAACGAUGCGUAGCCGACCUGAGAGGGUGAUCGGCAACACUGGAACGGAGACACGGUCCAGACGCCUACGGGAGGCAGCAGUAGGGAAUCUUCCGCAAGGGGCGAAAGCCUGACGGAGCAACGCCGCGUGAGUGAUGAAGGUGUUCGGAUCGUAAAACUCUGUUAUUAGGGAAGAACAAAUGUGUAAGUAACUAUGCACGUCUUGACGGUACCUAAUCAGAAAGCCACGGCUAACUACGUG